rnacentral:rRNA from 1 species
UACGGGGGGAGCAAGCGUUGUCCGGAUUUAUUGGGCGUAAAGAGCGUGUAGGCGGCCAUGUAGGUCCGGUGUGAAAACUCGAGGCUUAACCUCGAGAUGUCAUCGGAAACCAUUUGGCUAGAGUCCGGAAGAGGAGAGUGGAAUUCCUGGUGUAGCGGUGAAAUGCGCAGAUAUCAGGAGGAACACCAAUUGCGAAGGCAGCUCGCUGGGACGUUACUGACGCUGAGACGCGAAAGCGUGGGGAGCAAACAGG